UACGAAGGGUGCAAGCGUUAAUCGGAAUUACUGGGCGUAAAGCGUGCGUAGGUGGUUUGUUAAGUCUGCUGUGAAAGCCCUGGGCUCAACCUGGGAAUGGCGGUGGAUACUGACAAGCUGGAGUGCGGUAGAGGAGGGUGGAAUUCCCGGUGUAGCGGUGAAAUGCGUAGAGAUCGGGAGGAACAUCAGUGGCGAAGGCGGCCCUCUGGACCAGCACUGACGCUGAGGCACGAAAGCGUGGGGAGCAAACAGG
rnacentral:rRNA from 1 species